rnacentral:tRNA from 1 species
UCCCUGAGAGCUCAGUUGGUAAAGAAUCUGCCUGCAAUGCAGGAGACCCAGGUUCAAUUCCUGGGUUGGGAA